AGUACGCAACUUGGGGUUUCAAAUCAUCCUCACUUAAUUUGACUAUCUUCUUAUCGUCUCUGUCCGUGGGAGGCACAAAGGAUAGUGGCUUACCCAUUUGAGCACUACGAUUUCCUUGCACAACCUUAGCUGCAGUUGGAAAGGACACCUCCGAUUUACUGGACUCAAAAAAUUGUAGUCGGCGUACAGCUUGACUAUUAUUCCCUUCUGGUUUUCUUAUCGAACUUUGCAUUGCAUCUUCAUCACAUUCAGCUUCAUGAAUCUCCUCAAUGGCUUGAAAUUUCUGGGGGUAGAAAGCUCCCAAAAGUCAGCGGUUCUCGUGCUUUAGCAGAAUGCUGCAGUUGGAUAGGACACCUCCGAUUUACUGGGCUCAAAAAAUUAUAGUCGGCAUACAGCUUGACUAUUAUUUCCUUCUGGUUUGUUUAUCGGACUCUGCAUUGCAUCUUCAUCACAUUCAGCUUCAUGAAUCUCCUCAAUGGCUUGAAAUUUCUGGGGUAGGAAGCUCCCAAAAG
rnacentral:lncRNA from 1 species